UACGAAGGGGGCUAGCGUUGCUCGGAAUUACUGGGCGUAAAGCGCACGUAGGCGGCUCUUUAAGUCGGGGGUGAAAUCCUGGAGCUCAACUCCAGAACUGCCUUCGAUACUGUAGAGCUUGAGUUCGGGAGAGGUGAGUGGAACUGCGAGUGUAGAGGUGAAAUUCGUAGAUAUUCGCAAGAACACCAGUGGCGAAAGGCGGCUCACUGGCC
rnacentral:rRNA from 1 species